rnacentral:lncRNA from 1 species
GGGCACAUGGUAGAAGAAUGAAUUAAAAGACUGGGGGAAGUGGGCAUGCUGGAAUGGAUAUGUGUGAAGCCAGAAGACCCAUCAGAGGAUUCUGUUUCACAGGAGGGCCCAGAAGAUACACCAUUCACCAAGGCCAUCAGAAAUCCUCUGGUAAGGGACACCACCACCAAGAAGUUCUCUGCGUUCCUGAGCUAACAACAGCAGUCACAGAGUUAGGACCCAUUAAUGAUUAUGGGAAAAAUAUUCCCCUUCCCCAAGUAAUAGAGGCCAGAUAGUGGCACUUAGUCACUAGAAGCCAGGAGGCCACAAUUAAAAAGACCAACAACAUUUGACAAGUGGCAGCCAAGAGGGCUUGACUCACAGGGAGUUGUGGAGAUGGAUGUAGAGCUUGGUAUCUCUAGGGGCAAAAUAGGUGGGAAUCCUAUUAACAUCUACAACCCAAAAAAGGCCAAAACGGAGGAGCAGGAGACUGAGGAUGGUUUCAUCCAGAAAGUCAUCGUCCCUUGUUCAGUAUCCCGAUCUGAGCCACUUUUCAGAUCUGAAACUUGUUGACUUAAGGGGCGGCAGGUCCUGCGGCACUGCAGCAAAUGUAAGUGUUAUGAUUCCCCAGUCCUUUGCUAAAGAUACCUAUGGCCAUUUACUUCAGUGAUUGUACACAGUGGGAAAGAGGAAUAACCAGAAAUUUAAGAACUAUUGGACUCAGUCAACUCAGACAUCAAUAUCCUGAGACCCAAAGCAUUGUCAUAGCCUCUUGUUAGAGUGGAGGCAAAUGGGGACUGGGUAAUAAUUGGAGUUCUGACUAAAGUCUAGUUAGGGUAGGUCCAUUGUGUCUGUGAACCCACCCAGUGGUCAUUUCUUCAGUUCUUGAGUCUGUAAUUGGAGUUGAUACACUUAGCAGCUGCAGUUAUACCAACAUUUAAAUGCUUGACCUGUGUGAAGAGCUAUCAUAGUGGAGAAGGCCAAGUGGAAACACCUGAAAAUGACCUUCCAGACCUGGCUAACAUAGUAAAUUAAAAAAUAAACAAAUGAAAAUAUCACAUACCAGGGGGCAUGGUGGAAAUUAGUGCCACCAUUAAAGACCUAAGAAAUGUGGGAGGAUGGUCCCUAUCAUAUCUCCAUUUAAUUAGCCAGUCAGGCCCCUGCAGAAACUAGAUGGGUCCUGGAGAAUGACUCUAGACCACCAUAGCAAGUCACAGCCCCAAUAGCACCUGCUGUGCUUUAUAUAGUCUUACUGCUAGUGCAGAUUAAUAAGGCAUCAGGACAUGACGUGUGGCCAGUGGUUUGUUGAACAAAUUAUUUUCCAUUUUGAUUAGGAAAGAUCGUGUGGGACAGAUAACCAUUUACAGUUUUGCCUCAAGGAUAGAUUAACUCUGCCCUCUGUCGUAAUAAGGUCCAAAGAAAUCUGAACCUCCUAAACAUCUCAUAGAGUAGCACACCGACCCAUUGCAUCAAUGAUAUGCCGGUCAGACUGUACAAGUGGAGUGGCUAGUAUGCUGGAGGCAUUGGUAAGACUAAUGCUCCAGAGAAUAGAAGAAAAAUGCUAUAAAGAUUCAAGGACUUGCCACUUCAGUGAGGUUUUCAGAGUGUACCAUUAUAUCUUUCCAAAGUGAAAGUCUUGCAUCCCUUACCACAAAGAAGAAUGCACAGGGCUUGGUAUGUCUCUUUAGGUUCUGGAGCAACAUAUACCACACUUAGGAAUACUGCUCCAGCCCAUUUACCAGGUGACAUUGAAGAUUUCCAGCUUUGGGGCCCAGAGCAGGUGAAAGGCUCUUCAGAAGUCCAGGCUACAGUACAGACAUCUUUGUCACUUUGGCCAUAUAUUCCAGUAAAAUCUUGUAUUGGAGGUAUCAGACUAGGGAAAGAAGCAGUUUGGAGCUUGUGAUGGUUAAUUUUAUGUCAACUUGGCUGGGCUAUGGGGUAGUCCAGUAUUUGGCCAAACAUUAUUCUGCGUGUGUCUGUGGGUGUGUUUCCAGAUGAAGUUAACAUUGGAUUGGUAGAAUGAGUAAAGCAGAUUGCCAUCCCUAAUGUAAGUGGGCCUCAUUCAAUCAGUUGAAGACCUGAGUAGAACUAAAAGAUUGAGUAGAAGGGAACUCCUGCUUGAUUGCAUAGCUAGGAUGUUGGUCUUUUCCAGCCUUUAGGCUUGGUCUGAAACAUCAGCUCUUCUUGGAUCUUGAACCCGCCAACUUUCAGACUGGAAAUCAUGCCAUUGGCUUUCCUUGUUCUCAGGCCGUUGGCUUCAGACUGGGAACUACACAUCAGCUCUCCUGGGUCUCCAGCUUGAUGACUGCAGAUCUUGGGACUUCUUGGCCUCCAUACUCAUGUGAGUCAAUUCUUUAUAAUAAAUCUAUAGCUAUAGCUAUACAAUCUAUAUCUAUACUUACACCUACAUCUAUAUAACUAUAAUGUUUCUGUUUCUCUGGAGAUCCCUGGCUAAUACAGAUCUUGACACCAGCCGUGGAAUGUAGCUGUAACAAAUAACUAAAAAUGUGGAAGCUGCUUCGGAACUGGAUAAUGAGUGGAGUUGGAAAAGUUUUAAAGUGCAUGCUACAAAUAUGGACAUUAAGGACAAUUCUGGUGAGACGUCAGAUGGAAAUGAGGAGGACGUUAAUGGAAAUUGUGGGAAAAGUGACCCUUGUUAUAAAGUGGUGAAUAACUUGGCUGAACUGUGUUCUGUUUUGUGCAAGGUAGAAUUUGUGAGUGAUGAAAUUGGAUAUUUAGCUGAGGAGAUUUCUAAGCAAAGUAUUGAAGGAGGGGCUUGGUUCCUCCUGAUUGCUUAUAGUAAAAUGUGAAAGGAGAGAGAUGAAGAAGGAAUUGUUAAGCAAAAAGGAACCAGAACUUGAUGAUUUAGAGAUUUCUCAGCCUAUCCAUAUUGAAAAACAUGAGAAAGCAUGUUCUAAAGAAAAUACCAAUGGCACAACUUGAUUAUCACUUGAUAAAGAGUUUAUGGGAUUAUAUGAGCAGAAAUGCAGCCAAUUUGAACUGAAGGGGAUGAAGAUGGGACCAAACAAAGGAAGGCUGUUGGGCUUAUUGAAUUUGACAAGACAGAAUGAUAGAGCUAUUCAGCUGCACACAUGCACUAUUCUGCAAGAAGAGGGGAAAAUGAUGCCGACAGUGAUUAAGAGAUCAUCAGGGCCACUACACUACCUCAGUUUCAACAGCCUUUGGUGGGGGACUACCCAACAGGACCUUGGGGGUGAUGCUGCCACCUACUGGACCUGGAGGGCAGAGCAUUGAACCAAGGAGGAUUAUUUUAAAGCCUUAAAAUCUGAUGGACUUUGCCUUGCUAAAUUUUGAGCUUGCUUGGGACCAUCACCCCUUUCUUCUCCCUUUUGUAAUGAGAAUGUCUAUCCUAUUACUAUCCCACUAUUGUAUUUUGAAAGUAUAUAACUUGUCUGAUUUCACAGAUUCACAGCUGGAGAGGAAUUUUGCCUCAGGAUGAAUCAUACCUCCAGUCUCACUCUAUCUGAUUUAGAUGAUAUUCAAAUGAGACUUUAGAUGCUGGAAUAAAUUAAGAGCUUUGGAGAUUUGGGGAUGAAAUGAAUGUAUUUUGUGUGCAAUAAUGAUAUGAAUUUUAGGGGGCCACAGGUGGAAUGUUAUAGACUGAAUGUGUCCCCCUCCAAAUUCAUACAUUGAAGCCCUAAUCCCCAACAUGAUGACAAAGAGGCACCAGAGAGCUCUCUUUCUCUGCCCUAUAAGGAUACAGUGAGAAGGUAGCUGUCUGCAAGUCAGGAAGAGAGCUUUCACCAGAUCCUGAUUAUGCUGGCAUCUUGAUCUCGGACUUCUGGCCUCUAG